ensembl:lncRNA
GAAGCAUCCAUAAAGGGUUCAGGAAGCAUCCAUAAAGGGUUCAGGAAGCAUCCAUAAAGGGUUCAGGAAGCAUCCAUAAAGGGUUCAUGAAGCAUCCAUAAAGGGUUCAGGAAGCAUCCAUAAAGGCCUUAUGAAGGGUUCAGGAAGCAUCCAUAAAGGGUUCAGGAAGCAUCCAUAAAGGCCUUAUAAAGGUGACGCUGUGUCACGCCAGGUGCUCCUAUAUCACGCCAGGCGGCGCUGUGUCACGCCAGGUGCUCCUAUAUCACGCCAGGCGAUACUAUAUCACUCCAGGUGCUCCUAUGUCACGCCAGGUGCUCCUAUAUCACGCCAGGCGGCGCUGUGUCACGCCAGGUGCUCCUAUAUCACGCCAGGCGAUACUAUAUCACGCCAGGUGCUCCUAUAUCACGCCAGGCGGCGCUCCUAUAUCACGCCAGGCGAUACUAUAUCACGCCAGGCGGCGCUCCUAUAUCACGCCAGGCGACACUAUAUCACGCCAGGCGAUACUAUAUCACGCCAGGUGCUCCUAUAUCACGCCAGGCGGCGCUGUGUCACGCCAGGCGAUACUAUAUCACGCCAGGCGGCGCUCCUAUAUCACGCCAGGCGAUACUAUAUCACGCCAGGCGAUACUAUAUCACGCCAGGCGGCGCUCCUAUAUCACGCCAGGCGGCGCU